CAACACUCGAGAGCACUCGCGAGGCUCAACCUUCCAAAUCCAAUCGAAUCCAAUCCAUCCCCUUCCAGUUCAUCAUAAUCAUAAGCAUAAGCAUAUCGAGCUCUUGGCAAACACUCUCCAACGUGCAUGGCCUUAAACGCUGAUCGAGAGCCAUCUCGCAGCCAUUUAAGCAGCAUUCACCGCACAAAAUGAAGAAGCAUCGACUUCCGCUUGUAAUUACCAUUGAUCCAAUGGAUCCAUUGAAUUGACACAAAUCUAUCAGCUCUAUUCACACACAAUACCCCCAAAGAGUCCG
rnacentral:lncRNA from 1 species